rnacentral:rRNA from 1 species
GGUCAAGCGAAUAAGUGCAUGUGGUGGAUGCCUUGGCGAUAACAGGCGAUGAAGGACGCGACAGCCUGCGAUAAGCUGCGGGGAGCCGGCAAAUGGGCGCUGAUCCGCAGAUUUCCGAAUGGGGAAACCCAACCCGCAAGGGUUACCUGUCCCUGAAUACAUAGGGAUAAGGAGCGAACCUGGAGAACUGAAACAUCUCAGUAACCAGAGGAACAGAAAUCAACCGAGAUUCCCAAAGUAGUGGCGAGCGAAAUGGGACCAGCCUUCGAGUUUUAGCACGCGAGUUAGCGGAACGCCCUGGAAAGAGCGGCCAUAGCGGGUGAUAGCCCCGUACGCGAAAACUGGUGUGGAACUGAGCUCGAGACAAAGUAGGGCGGGACACGUGAAAUCCUGUCUGAAGAUGGGGGACCAUCCUCCAAGGCUAAAUACUCGUUAUCGACCGAUAGUGAACCAGUACCGUGAGGGAAAGGCGAAAAGAACCCCGGGAGGGGAGUGAAAUAGAACCUGAAACCGCAUGCAUACAAACAGUCGGAGCCUCAGCAAUGGGGUGACGGCGUACCUUUUGUAUAAUGGGUCAGCGACUUACGUUCAGUUGCGAGCUUAAGGCUAGGUGCCGGAGGCGCAGCGAAAGCGAGUCUGAACAGGGCGUUCAGUAGCUGGGCGUAGACCCGAAACCGGUUGAUCUAUCCAUGGCCAGGUUGAAGGUGGGGUAACACCCACUGGAGGACCGAACCCACGCCCGUUGAAAAGGUCGGGGAUGAGCUGUGGAUAGGGGUGAAAGGCUAAACAAAACCGGAGAUAGCUGGUUCUCCUCGAAAACUAUUGAGGUAGUGCGUCACGUAUUACCUUCGGGGGUAGAGCACUGUUAUGGCUAGGGGGCCGCUAUAGGCUUACCAAACCAUGGCAAACUCCGAAUACCGAAGAGUAGAGCGUGGCAGACAGUCCCCGGGUGCUAACGUCCGGGGACAAGAGGGAAACAACCCAGACCGCCAGCUAAGGUCCCCAAUAUCGGCUAAGUGGAAAACGAGGUGGGAAGGCUCAGACAGUCAGGAGGUUGGCUUAGAAGCAGCCAUCCUUUAAAGAAAGCGUAAUAGCUCACUGAUCGAGUCGUCCUGCGCGGAAGAUGUAACGGGGCUCAAGCCAAUAACCGAAGCUGCGGAUCUAGGAGCAAUCCAUAGGUGGUAGAGGAGCGUUCCCUACGCCUGCGAAGGUGUGCCGAGAGGCAUGCUGGAGGUAUGGGAAGUGCGAAUGCUGACAUGAGUAGCGAUAAAGGGAGUGAAAAGCUCCCUCGCCGAAAGCCCAAGGUUUCCUGCGCAACGUUCAUCGGCGCAGGGUGAGUCGGCCCCUAAGGUGAGGCAGAGAUGCGUAGCUGAUGGGAAUCCGGUCAAUAUUCCGGAACCGCCGACGGGUGCGAUGUGGGGACGAAGAAGGUUAUGCAGACCGGGUGUUGGACGUCCCGGUGAAGCGUGUAGGUGGAUCCUCUAGGGAAAUCCGGAGGGUCAACACCGAGGCGCGGGACCAGGGGGGCUUGCCCUCCGAAGCUGCAGAUACCCUGCUUCCAGGAAAAGCCACUAAGCUUCAGCCCGUCGGGACCGUACCGCAAACCGACACAGGUGGGCAGGAUGAAAAUUCUCAGGCGCUUGAGAGAACUCAGGAGAAGGAACUCGGCAAAUUGACACCGUAACUUCGGGAGAAGGUGUGCCUUUGGUAGGUGUAGCGGCUUGCCCGCGAAGCCGAAGAAGGCCGCAGAGAAUCGGUGGCUGCGACUGUUUAUCAAAAACACAGCACUCUGCUAAGACGUUGGAAGUCGACGUAUAGGGUGUGACGCCUGCCCGGUGCCGGAAGGUUAAGUGAUGGGGUGCAAGCUCUUGAUCGAAGCCCCGGUAAACGGCGGCCGUAACUAUAACGGUCCUAAGGUAGCGAAAUUCCUUGUCGGGUAAGUUCCGACCCGCACGAAUGGCGUAACGAUGGCCACACUGUCUCCUCCUGAGACUCAGCGAAGUUGAAAUGUUUGUGAAGAUGCAAUCUACCCGCGGCUAGACGGAAAGACCCCAUGAACCUUUACUGUAGCUUUGCAUUGGACUGUGACGUUGUCUGUGUAGGAUAGCUGGGAGGCUUUGAAGCCGGGAUGCUAGUUCCGGUGGAGCCGACGUUGAAAUACCAGCCUGACGACGUUGCGGUUCUAACCUGGGCCCCUUGACGGGGUCGGGGACCGUGCAUGGUAGGCAGUUUGACUGGGGCGGUCUCCUCCCAAAGAGUAACGGAGGAGUGCGAAGGUCACCUAGGUACGGUCGGAAAUCGUACUCAUAGUGCAAUGGCAUAAGGUGGCUUGACUGCGAGACUGACAAGUCGAGCAGGUGCGAAAGCAGGUCAUAGUGAUCCGGUGGUUCUGUAUGGAAGGGCCAUCGCUCAACGGAUAAAAGGUACUCUGGGGAUAACAGGCUGAUUCCUCCCAAGAGUUCAUAUCGACGGGGGAGUUUGGCACCUCGAUGUCGGCUCAUCACAUCCUGGGGCUGUAGCCGGUCCCAAGGGUAUGGCUGUUCGCCAUUUAAAGUGGUACGUGAGCUGGGUUCAAAACGUCGUGAGACAGUUUGGUCCCUAUCUGCCGUGGGCGUUGGAGAUUUGACGGGGGCUGCUCCUAGUACGAGAGGACCGGAGUGGACGCAUCCCUGGUGUACCGGUUGUGACGCCAGUCGCAUUGCCGGGUAGCUAUAUGCGGAAGAGAUAACCGCUGAAAGCAUCUAAGCGGGAAACUUGCCUGAAGAUGAGAUCUCCCGGAGGCUUGACCUCCCUGAAGGGUCGUCCGAGACCAGGACGUUGAUAGGCUGGGUGUGCACGGGGGGUAACCCUCUUAGCUAACCAGUACUAAUUGCCCGUGUGGCUUGACUCU